rnacentral:rRNA from 1 species
GAUGAACGCUAGCUACAGGCUUAACACAUGCAAGUCGAGGGGCAGCGGGAUUGUAGCAAUACAAUUGCCGGCGACCGGCGCACGGGUGAGUAACACGUAUCCAACCUUCCGGUUACUCGGGGAUAGCCUUUCGAAAGAAAGAUUAAUACCCGAUGGCAUAGUUCUUCCGCAUGGUAGAACUAUUAAAGAAUUUCGGUCAUCGAUGGGGAUGCGUUCCAUUAGGUUGUUGGCGGGGUAACGGCCCACCAAGCCUUCGAUGGAUAGGGGGUUCUGAGAGGAAGGUCCCCCCACAUUGGAACUGAGACACGGUCCAAACUCCUACGGGAGCAGCAGUGAGGAAUAUUGGUCAAUGGACGAGAGUCUGAACCAGCCAAGUAGCGUGAAGGAUGACUGCCCUAUGGGUUGUAAACUUCUUUUA